CUGUUAUAUGAAAGGAGAGAAGGGUAACAUCCCCCACCUGUGAUAAGGAUGGCAGAGGUCCUUAGGGUUUUUACAACCCACAUAUGGUUAAUGCAUUGUGACUUACUUUAUGGCAAGAUAGCAAGUGUUUUU